CCUACGGGUGGCUGCAGUGGGGAAUAUUGGACAAUGGGGGGAACCCUGAUCCAGCCAUGCCGCGUGUGUGAAGAAGGCCCUCGGGUUGUAAAGCACUUUCAGUGAGGAAGAACGCCUGGUGGUUAAUACCCAUCAGGAAAGACAUCACUCACAGAAGAAGCACCGGCUAACUCCGUGCCAGCAGCCGCGGUAAUACGGAAGGUGCGAGCGUUAAUCGGAAUUACUGGGCGUAAAGCGCGCGUAGGUGGCUUGAUAAGCCGGUUGUGAAAGCCCCGGGCUCAACCUGGGAACGGCAUCCGGAACUGUCAAGCUAGAGUGCAGGAGAGGAAGGUAGAAUUCCCGGUGUAGCGGUGAAAUGCGUAGAGAUCGGGAGGAAUACCAGUGGCGAAGGCGGCCUUCUGGACUGACACUGACACUGAGGUGCGAAAGCGUGGGUAGCAAACAGGAUUAGAUACCCUAGUAGUC
rnacentral:rRNA from 1 species